AUUUUUACUCAGCUCUUUGCUAUUUAAUUGACUCAUUGCCUUGAAAAAAAUUCUCCGAUAUAACCGUUACGGUAGUGGUCAGUACUAGAGCAUCAAUUCUGUACAAAAUUUAGAAAUGUGUGUUAAUUGCAUUAGGCCGUGCUCUGUUCUAUAUUUGUAUUGAUAUGUAUGUGUGCAGAAUGGCUGCUGACUUGAUUCCUCUUACUAUGCAAGCUUAAAACCUGGCUGUUUGUGGAUGAAAUCCAAUUUCCAUUCUAAGCUCCCUGGGAUAUUCGGCCUUAGUUUUAGUAAUCACUUGCCAUUAAUAGUGCCCCAAACAAUUUUUAGUACUUAAAAUACAGAUUUCAUGUAUAAUAUAUAAUACAGCACAUCACCUCUACUUAUAAAUUGUAAGCCAGAUACAUAAUGCAUUAUAGCAUAUUAAAACAUGGACACUUUAACAUCUAAACAGGCUCCUGUCCAACAGAAUUCACAAAUUAAGAACUCGAUCCAGUGCUGUACAUAGGAAACUUUCAAUGACUUCUUUGGGAAUUGUGUCCCAGGAAUGUGAUAUCUAGCCUCCUCACAGGCAGAUGAAAUAGAUGCGGCAGAUUCGGUAACAAUUUGAUAGCAUAUAUGGUCAGAAAAAUGAUUGUAUAAAAGUGGGACUUUCUUACUCAUCAUAUACCCUUUGUAUCUAAGAUACUCUGACUCAUAAUUGCUUAGUUUACUGACUGAAAUAAAAUUUUAGGCUUCUGUUACCUUGGCAGUUGCUGACACAAUUACGGUACAGCAAGCUGGGAACUGGUUUCAGCUCUUCCAUUUUCUUUACUAAGUUCCAGUUGAAGAAUUUUAAUUAGCAUUUGAGCCAGAAAGAGCACAGCAUGACUUGAAAAUCUCAGGUCCAGUUUGUAGGGUCAUCAGUCCUAAGGAGCCUCUUUUUAUUUGUAAACUGAGCAAAUGAAUUCUAGAAAAUUUUGAAGGCAAAAAUAAAAAACCCCACAAUGUUCGACUGAAGCCAUCUUGAGUCAAUUUCCACAGUGGAACUGGAUAAAUUAUAACACUGCUCCCUUUAUCUCACUGAGUACGUCCCAUUCAUCUGUAGUAACAUUGAAUCAAACAAUUCUCUUGUUUCAAGACCACAUCUGUUUUACUGUGCCCCCCGUACCAAUUUUAAUUAUGUGGCAGAUCUGAUUGGAUUCAGCACCUGCAAGUCUUCCCUUUGGGAGCGCCAAUUAGCUUAUAAAACAUUUACUUGAUUUCAUUCUUUAAACAAAAGUAUUGUUUCAUCCUAACAACAGGAAUAUUAAAGUGUGGAAUAAAAAAGGGUUCUAACGUGAUAAGCAGCAUGUAUGUUGUUUGCGUAUCUGUCUUCCAUAAGCUUAGAGGAAAAAGUGGUAAUCCUGAAACCUAAUUUCCUCAGACUCAGCAGAUGUCUGUCCUGCAUUAGGCUGUUUCUUUACCAACAGCUGUUUCACAAGUGCCUCCCCUUGUCUCUACAGAAUGCCUUUUGUUUAAUAAUUUCCCGAUAUGUUAUCUCCCAAUCCCACUAAGACAAGCAUUUUCAACUUUUCUGGUACGUAUAAGUAGGAUUUUUAUAGUUUAAUAGACAGGUUCAUCUUUGAAGAAUUUAGCUAAAACUAUAUAACUAGUCUUUCAGUUUCUUACUAGCAGUUCUACUUAACUAAGAAAAUAGCUGCGUAUAAUAAACAUUUCAGCAAUUACUGUCUUAAUAUUAAUAAAUAUAUUAAUACAUAUAUGCUUCAGAAUGUGCUUAUUUUUCCUUAUUUCUGCUUUGAGCAGUGAUAAUUGAGGUCUAGGGGGGCGUAUAGCAUGAAGUGCAGCCCUCUAGUGGUAGAGGUCAUGGGGAGUUUAACGCAAGCUGUGUUUUUGUCAUGGGUGGGGGACAAUGACAUAGCUUUUAGCAAAAUGCAAGCAACCUGGGACCCUUCCCUGCCAUAUAUCAGCCUUCUGCAUUGUUCAUGGUCUGAAGCACGAGUGAAAAUAGUUGUGGAGGCCUGCUGCUUGUUCCCACUCUGUCCUGAUUCUGAUGGAGAUAGGGCCAAUGGAAAAAUAAAAAAAGUCUGUAUCAGCAGAGUUUUCCUCUUUUUCCGAAUUUGUAAUCUGUUGCUCAGUUUUUCUUUUUCAGCCUGCUGUAGACCGGCUUAUCUAACCAGAGGUUGUUCAAGCUGUUGUGGGAUCUUGAUCCCUUUUCUGUUUCUUUCAGUCAUGUCCUACCAGCUAAUGUAUUCUAUAACUUCAGCAACAGUCAGUUCAGUGAUAGCAUGGAAUCCAAAUUCAAUUUGCCAGCCUUAUUUCUAAAAAAGCUAUUGGCUGGUGGAGGUGUGGAUGGUAGUGUUCAAACUAAUCUCUCCCACAGAUAUGAGAGCUGGGCUUAGAAGUGAAAGGGGUUAGGAAGAGACAUAAACCAAAGCAAUUAAGCAUGUAUUUUAACAAAUAGAAAUCUGAAGAAUAACUGAGAUUAAGUUCUAGUAAACAUCACCUCAUCUGAUAACAUCCACUUUGUGGAGCAAGACUCAACCUCCUGUUUCUUGUAGAGGUGAUGGAUAUUUCUCCUCUGGCUAACAGAAUGAACAGUUUGUUUUUCCUGUUACGGGAAAUAUGACAGAGCCUAAUAAUCAUUAGAUGAAAAACAAUACCUCUUAAAUAUCCUGGCUAGGUAAAAGAAAACAGAUACAGCUUUUGUCCAACAUGAUGCCACUGCUAGUGGCAGUUUUUCAUUACUGACCGUUUGCUGUGAUUCCUGGUAAGCUUUAGCUCCACUAAAAUUACAGUUAGUGAUGAACUCAGAAGUCUCUUUCAAGUUUUUAACUUCCACCUUCUGUUUAUGAAACUUUUUCGUCCAAUAAUCUAUCAGUUAAAUUUAUUUAUUAAAUUAUCCAGUUGAUGCAGAAGUUUUUCACCAGUAAAAAAUAUAAAGUUUCAGUGGAAGUUCUCCAAGACUGCAGCAACAUUAAGCUAAGGAAAAUCAAAUCCAAGGUUUGGGAAAAAAAAAAAAAAAAGCUAAACAUGUAUUAGACAGAAAGUGACCUGUUUAUGUUUUCCCAUAUUUAUAUUCCUUUUAUUAUCUGCACUUAUAUGCAUUACCAAACUAAAAGCCAAGUGUUUUUUAUUGCACUCUUCACAGAUAAGAGCAUGGACAACUGCUAAACCCAUUCAUGUUGUAGACCAUUUACUAUGUAGUAUCUUUCUUUUUCCAGUAAACUGAGAAUGGUAACUUAAAAUUUGUAAUAAUUUGACUUACUAUUUAUCAUAACAUGAAUAUAUUGGCCAAAACUCCCUUUCUAGUGGUGGAAUGAGAGAGAAUGUGUAGGAAAUCAACAUCCAUUCCUGCUGUCUCAGCAGAAGGAUCACCUGCCUGCUCCUAUUCCCACAAUAUUCAUCAAAAUUUGCAAAGGGUUUUUUUGACUUUUCUUCAGGAAUAUAGAAUUGAGUUGUUCCUAGUUCUUCAUUCCUGAAUCUGUAGAUCAGAUUUAUAAGCUGUUCUUGUAUUCUUUAUAUCUUGAGGUUACCUGAGGCCCUAUCCGGAUCUCGGUGUAAAAAACACAGUAGCCUCAGGACAAUUUUCAUCUCUCCCGAGGAACUGACUAUGUGGAUCAGGUCAUGAUCCAUGAAACUCCAGUGGCUAGACACUUACCCCAAAAAGGCAUCUCCAUGGUGAUAUUUCUGAAAAGUAAUUUAAAAGAACUUUUGUUUCUCAGAAUGAAAGAAUCAGAAAACUUGAUUCUAAUUACCUUCCAAUAACAGUAGUGUUUCCUGGGGUUUUUUUGGGGGGUUUGUUCUUUUUUAAACAGGAAAACAGAUAAUUCAAGGUUUAAAACUGGUACAAACUAGGAGUAAUGAAGCAAUGAUGUAAUAGUAUGUGAGAAACAGCAGGAUCACCUUGUUUGUUUUAUGUCAGUUUAUGGUGUUAUUGAUUGGGUAACUGCUAGCACUGUCUUGUAAAAGAACAUCAGUGAAGCAUCUCUUCUACCAACUGAUUUCAGCCAGCUAUCACUCCAGAUGCUUCAGGAUGUAUUGCUCUAACAGUACGGUGAACAGGGUAUUUUUCAAGGCAUCAGCAUACUUGUUUCCAAUCUCUGUUAAUAUAAUUGUUCUAGCAGAAUCACUAUUUUAUGUCUCAUUUUACCCACCCACCAACAACUGUCUUACUUCUUUGAAAUUUUGGCACUUUCAGAGAACUGAAUAUGAAAAAAAGAGACAUUGACAGCAAAAUUAGUUUCUUUGAUUCUGUUGUCAAGACUGAUCCCCUUCUUGUGAACUUAAAGACCUGGAACAAUGCAAUACCCUCUAAGUGGUUAUAGGGACAUCUCUGCUGGAGCUCAGUCAUGCUCUGAAAGAGUCUAAUAUAGUUUUGGUUGUUCUCAUAAAUUAAAACUGGUUAAAACAGGUCAUACUUUUAAAUCUAAUGUUACAAUAUAUGAGCUUAUUCACGAUUUUUGAAGCUUGGAAGUUUGCUAUAGUUCAGCUGACAAAUGAGAGUUAUUUUAGUGGAGAAGAUCAGAAAUCUUCCUGGCAAAAGAAUAGAAAGGGGGCAAGUAAAGGUGUUGCACAAGGGACAAAGGAAAAACAAGAAUGCAACAAGACAGAGGCACUGAUUUUUCUGGGCUAACCAUGAUUUAUUUUAAAUUAUCUAGCAAAAUUUGAGUUGCUUUGCUCUUUUUGUUCACUGACAAAAUGUAUAGUUCUCGAUAUCAUGAAAGAGAAAUACAUCCAAGUAAAAUUAUACUACUAAACGCUGCUGCUGUUAAACACCAACAAAGCCCACUUUUUUCCAUUAUAAUUUGUAGUCAGUUUUCCAAAUAAUAAGCUAUUUCAGCAAAAGUAAUUUUUACAAAUAUAAUACUGUUAUAACAGUAGCUUUUUUGUUAAUGGAAAGGUAAUAAAAGUCAUAUCUCUAGUAUUAUUAUCCCUUGUAGAAACCUAGAGAUCUUUAAAAUUAUUUCUUAAAGUUUUACCAUAUAAAAAUGCAUAUGCCGGUAGAUUACAAAUUAAUUUUCAGCACAGCAAGAUUUUAGACAAUAGUUAUUAUCUUUAAGAGUACGUAGUUACAUUGGGAACUUAGCUGAUUCUUCCCUAGAGUUUAGCAAAUGCCUCAGAGUUUGUUCUUCUUUGUUAUUUUACUUCACCACCAAAAAUUAAUUAUUCCAGUGCCUUAUAUUUCUACCCUCCUGAAAUGAAUUACUACAGAAUACAAAAUUCCUCAAUUGGAAAGUCUCCUGGUGGGGGAGGGUAAAUAUAUAUAAAACUGUCAGGAUAAAUUGGCCAGAAUGAUUUGGCACACAUCCUCAGAGUUUGACAUGAAAACAUGUAUCUGUGUGUCAGCUGCACACAAAGGCUAUCUGGCCACAGAAAAAGCAUGAGGAUUAGACAUAAUGCUGCCUCUUUGAGACAAAGGGUAUUCCUUAGUGCAGCGAGGUUAAAAAAGACAGCUCAUCAGUAGUACAAGUCUAUCUAAAUGAUUUAGUUACCAUUUUGACCCAGAAGGAAGUGGUGACAUAUUAUUAAUUAAUUUUGGGGUUUAUUCAUCUAGUUAUUUUGGUUCAGUGAAAGCAGCAUUGGAAAUGUGAAAAGAUACCAAAAUAUGAGACCAUUUUUACUUUAAUCACUUAUAAGAUAUAGAAUCACUUUCUAAUUUUAAUGCUAGUUGCAAAAUAUAACUGAUUUCGAUUUACAUUUCACUGAGACGUAUCAUGAAGUUGCUAUGUAUGUUUGUAAGUGGGUGCAUGACUUUAAAUUCAACCAAAGUGAAUUGAACAACUCAUAUGUUCAAAAUAAAGCAUAUGCUUGUCUACCUUGCUGAAUUAAUGCUUCAUUUAUUUUCAAUUCAAUGAGAGAGAGCGUCAUUUCUUCAGUAUUGGAGAUUUAGGCCACCAAAUCUCAUCCAAGCAUACAGUAAGUCUAUGGGAUUUUUUUCUACUGCAGCCCUGAUGAUCUUUCUGAAUAUGUGGACUUUUAAAUAUUUUUUUCAGACAAGUUACGAAUUGCUUUAAAUGUUUCACAUACCUAUAUUAUGUUUAGAAACUUUUUUUAAAACAUUCAGAUAGAAGAUAGAACUCCGUGAACCUACUAGAUGAAAAUAGGGCUAGUGGCUUCAUGGGGUCUUAAGUCAUUCAGUACAAAAUAAUUAAAGGAAAAAAUAAUGGAGAAAGGAAGGAAACUAUAUAAAAGAUAUUAACAUAAACUUCAAAGCAUUCAUGCAAUGAGAGAUUCUCUUCAUAUUCUAGUGAUGGGCAAUUUGAAUUAAUUUUGGAUUGAAAUAUUUAGGGUUAUGUAAUAAGGAUAUAGAAAAACAACAUUUAGGAAUAUAUAAUUUAUCUUUUCUAAUAAAUUAUAUAUAAAAAAAUAACAGCUAGUAUAUAAUUUGAAAUUUGGCAGUUACAGAGUGAAAACUAAAAAUAUACUUUCCAAUAAUUAAAAAUCACAAGUUAAGGUGAAAAUUUUGUAUGUUUAUUUUCAACAUUGCUUAAGUUGAUAAUAAACAGAUACAAAUAUGAUGUUACAGAAAGUUAUAGUAUAUAUAUAUUAAAAAAGCAUGAUUAUGUGUCUUGUAAAUUUUCUGUGCGGUAUUUUGCUUCUAAUAUUUUAGCCAAGUAGGAAGACUUCUGUUGAAAACUUCUAAAUAUUUGUAUUCUUCUAAUUGUUCUUAUUUUCACUUAGAGGUUUAAGCUAUUUGCUCUGGAACAAAAAAAAUCGUAUGUAGAAACAGUAAAAAUAAGAUUCUGCAGAACUGAGUCAUUGCAAGUGAGAUGAAUGCCCAUGAAAAAGUACAAAUCACAAGAAAAAGCAGAAACAGGAUCAUUGUGUGUAUUAGCAACGAUGCUUACAGAUUCAUCAUGGCUCACAACAAAGAAAUGUGUUGCAGAUUUGUAUUCGAAUCAAGUGUCUCCACUGGAUAUAAUCAAUGAUUCUUCUAGAAUUAACCAACUAAACGAAUUUGCAAAGAACCCUGGUGACUAAAUCUGGGAACUUGGAGUAGAAAUGGGAUCAUAUGGAUAUUUAAUAAUAAUUGCUGGAAGGGACAAAGGAAGCCUGUCAUUCCCAAUGCUUAAUCAGACAAAUACCUUCACUGACAUUAAGGAAGUUACUGAUGUGAACAAGAAUUUGUGGACUCAAGACCUCAACCUGGCAAUGACUGAACUGAACGACAGGAAGAGAAACAGCUGGAGAUGUGGCUGCCAUUGUGUAUGUCAAGUCCAAAUCAUGUUACAUGGAUACUAGGGGUGUUACCUGCAAGCCUGGUAUCUCCCAAAAACAUAAAAACACAUUUAUAGCAUAUACAUCAGGUAUCCUACAUUCUUUUUUAAUAUGAAUGUCCAUGCACGAAUGACUACUGUACUGCUUCUGGACUGUUGAUUGAAAAAUAACAUGUAAUAUAGCUAUACUAUUGUACCUGUAUUGCUGAUAAAAUCAGACUAACAGCUAAGAGAAUUUUUUUUUUUUUAUUUGUCAGAUCAUAAAAUGUAAAUGUUAAUUUUGCCUUCAACACUAUCUAAUUAGUAACUUCCUAUUCAAAAACUUUUUUUUAUUGGCUUGACUUGCACUGCGUUUUUUUAUAAAGUGUUAUAUGAAAUGAUUUUUUUUAUCAUUCUUUUAAACUUCAUUAUCUUUUUGAUGACACAGUAAUUUUAUUUUGUAUUUUUUAAUCUCCUUUUAGCCAACUUUUUCACUUUGAUUUUUCUCUACAGCAGUCCAUGCUUUUUUGUUUUGAUAACUUUUAAUGGUAAUUAACUUUUUCAGAAGGGCACCCUAGUACUUUUAGAUGAGUUGUGUUUGCCGUCUCAAAAGAAUUUUUAAAAGCUGGCCCUCUCUACCUCCCAUAAAAAUAAUAAAGCUAUCCCUCUGGGAUAUAGCUAAGAUCCUAGAAGGUGAAAAGAUUAGCAAGAAACUGAAAUACAAAUAGUUUGCAGCCAUGUCAGGUAGCUUUGAUAAUUUUUGCAAUCUAUACUAGAGAGUGAUCAUUUCCACAACUCCAAGAGCGAGCUCAGGUGCUUUAAAGAUUGGCUUACUCUUGGAAGUACAUUUUUCCUCUAGCUGAAAAGUACAGAAAUCACUGUGUGUAAGACAAGCAUCUUGAUAAGACUCUAUAAAAUUUUUGUCUCCUUGUGAAACAGUUUGAUAAGCUUUUACAAUAUUUUGCAAAAGUUUUUGCUGAGUUUUUAUUCAUAGCCUGAUGUGUCUCAAAAUUGGAGGAAGAUAAUAUUGUACCCUUUUUUGGAUACUUGAUGUCUAGCAUUAGGGUUUAAGGUUUCUGUAUCAUGGAGAAAUUUUCAAAUAAUAUCCCCUCAGAAGAUUUUUCUUCUUGUAUACUUCAGCUUUGAAAGGUUUAAAAAGGAGUGGGUGGUAAGGGUCUUAGGGGUAUUUGGUAAUAAACCAAACAAAAGGUAGCAGAGGCACAUGAAUUAUGCAGGUUUACUGGAAGUGCAGAACUAGAAAACUCUUAUAGAAAAGUUUUUUAAAAAUUACUUACUGUGAGCAUAGUAAAAUUGCACUUACCAGUUUUCCUGAAUAAUACAACAGUUGAAAAACAAAGGUGGUACAUUUUUGACCAAAAACCAUUCAUCUUUCUUUUUUACAUGGCAACUUUUCAAAUAAUUGAAAACUUGGUUCCUUUUCAGUUAUUUUAAGGAACUAAAUCAAUUGAAAAUAUCACCAAUAAGUUCACAACUUGCAUUUAAGACAAUCCAUGCCAGCAUAACACUGCAAUACUAAAACUUUUUUUUAUCCUAGUCUGCAUCAUUAUUUGCAAACCACUAAGUGCAGAGAGCUGAAGACAAAGCAGCUGUAGGAAUAAAGAAUUUAUUUUUGAUUGUACUUGGGUUUUGGUAACAUACCUUACCUGCAUCAGAGGCUUCAGUUAAUAAUCAUUCAUUUCGUUUUUCUACCCAGUCUUGCUGUUUUGUUUCCUCUUUUAUGCUUCAUGGAGGGUAGACUCCUGCCAGUGUUCUACCAUUCCAGCAACGUGUGCAAUAUCUGAGCAUAAAAAUACGUAAUAGAAAUACUGCUUGUCCAAGCUAAAGUUAUUGAUUUGUUUCUUUCACACACUUAAUACAGUUUAAUAUGUUUUUGUCUCUCAAGAUUUUUCUUUAGCACCUCAGCCAUUAAGGUUGUCUGGCUUCUUAAUGGUUUUCAAAAUUCUUUGGCCAUCAAUAGGAUAAAGGAUUCAUUUUUUAAAACUGUCUGAAGGUCACUUUUGUCAACUAAGCAAAAUACUUUUGAUAAAAUUAACUCUUUCAGAUAAUUAUAAUAGGUUUGUAAUUGUAACAGUUUAGAGCUGAACAUGCUGAAAAUGUUCAUAAAAUCCACAUCGCUACUGGGAAGUGCUAUAAGAGGCAUCCGGUCUUCUUUUUUAGAAUGUUUCUAUUCAGUGGUACACACAAAUUGUCCACUGUGCCCCUUUGGUAUUUGAAGUAGGAGCCUAAAGCCUACCGACAUUAUGCUCCAAAAUCUUAUAGUGCCUUAUGAUCUCUGCUUUUUGUCCUUGCUGAUCAGUAUCUUCCGUGAAUAGAUGUAGAUGCAAAGUAAUAGCAAACUAACUCAUGCCUGAAGUAUAGUUAUUAUACUACCAAUUAAUAUGUAUUUUUUCCCAACAUUAAAGUAUAUUAACAAUUCCAACAAUUCCAAUGAUCACUUUUUUUCCUUAAAGAAGUAAUUUGAUAGCCAUGAAUUAGUAAAGAGAUUUCUGUCUAGGUGUCAAGGUGUAGUACAGGCUGGCCGCUUGCUGGGAGCCAGUCUGUCAGGGUAGAGCCUGGCAACCAGGGCCCAUCCCACCCCCAAGGCAGGAGCAGGACAGCAGGGUGACACCAGGGCAGCCCCAGCCCCUGGUAUGGGGCACCUCCUUGGGGAUGGGGACUGGCCAAGGAUGGGCUGGGACAUUGGCCUGCAGGUUGGCUCGGCUCGGCAGGGCCCAUGGCUGGGCAGGGCAGAGCUGUUGGGAGCUGGAGACAGGCCCUGCUGCGAAAUCUCUGCACAGGCUGACAGCCCCAGGGGCCUGACGUGGGGUCCUGGGCCAUGGACAGUUUGGGGGAAGUUCCACCCUGGGUCCCCCCAUAGGUCCUGGGGUUUGAUCAGAGACAAGCAGGGCUGUGAGUGCCCUCAGAGCCGUGAUCACAGGGGUGCUAUGCUCCUUAUUCUGUUUUUGUUCCUUCAAGUAAAAUGGCAUCUACAGUAAUUGCAUAGAUGGUCUUAAUUGAAAACCUCGUCUAAGAGGUUGCAAAUCUUAUGUAAUCCUUAUGUAGAUAGAUCUCUUCACACGAUUUUACUCCCUUCACAGGAUUUAUUUGUCAAGAACUAAUUUGUUAUGUAGAUGUUGUUUUAUCCUUAAUUAUUUACUAAAGGAGUCCCUUUUAAUAAAUAAUCUUUAGACCUGAACACUUAAAAAAUCAAAAUACAAUCUAUAUUUCAAGUACCAGACACAAAAAGAAGUAUCCUUGGGCAACAGGAUUUGUCCAUGCAGAGUAAACAAAUUAUUUUUAAUAGGUACAUACGGUUCUUCAAUUUGAUAGCUGCUUUUGCCCAUGUUGCCUGUGCCUUGUGAUUCAUUGAGGUCUAAGAAAUUGCUCCCAGAACAUCUGAUAUAGUGUUUUUUAUCCAAUUAAGUCAAUAAUCACAAGGAUUUGGAGUUCUCCACUAAUACAGUAUAGUUCAAAAUUGGUUGAUACUAACCUGUCAGCUCAAGUGGAUUAAUAGCUGGACGUCAUUAGCAGAUUGUGUGAACACUCCUAAUCCAUUUUAGGAUUAAGCCAGACAGGUUAGUUUAAAUCAUCUUAGUGGGGUUUAAAUUAGCCAAGACUCAGGCUAUGUACCAGUAUGAAGAUAUACACAUAUAUCUUUUUCAUCUAUAUUUGUUUCAGCAAUUUCACAUGCAUUAGUCAGCAUCUCUCUUCUGAGAAUAAGCACCCUCUUGGGCCUGUCAGCUGAGCUGUUCGUGUGGUUGCUCCUGCACCUACUGUCGUCAAAGUGAGCUGAGUUAUCAAAGCUCCAUUAUUAGUUCUGAAAAAUACAUUACAGGGAAGGUAUAAUAAAGUUUAUACGAGAAGUUAUAAUUCAAAAUAAUAAUUCAUUAUUUGAUCUAUAUCCUAUUUCUUCCUGGCAUCAAAGUAAUUAUGUUUGAUAGAAUGAAACUGCAUUUAAGUGUUACAAACUAUAGGGAGAGGAGAUCCACUGAGGAGACAUCUCAAGAAAUAACAGUUUGAGGCUGAGGUCUAGCUAUCUUCCUCAGUUUUACACCUAAGGCAGGAAUGAGUGAUUACUUUUCACAAAUCAUUCAUCGAGACCCAUCAUUUCAUCAUUUGAAUAUCUGCCUUUUAGCGCUUAACAGAAUUCAGCAUAAGAGAGCAAGGUCACUAAAAAUGCUAAAUUAUUAAUACAGCACCUAGAUUUCAUAAUAGUUGAUUGUUUUAGAGCAGCAGCAUUGAAUGGGUCGAGGAGAGGCAUGGAGGGAGAGGAAGAAUGACCCAGGAAUGUCAGUCUAUUCCAUGGACUGAUACGAAUCGCUGUCCUUCAAUUACAACUUGCUGUUGCUAAAUGUAGUUGCUGCUUUACUAGUAUUACUGGAAAGUGAUUCUUGGGCAAUGAACUCUUUUGCAUUACAUGUACAUACACUGAAACUUGGGACUACAUCUGCCUUUAAGAGGGGAGGAGUUUUUCUUACUGUUCAUGGUUCUGGAGGCCAACCAAACACUGAUGUAGACAAGGUGAGGCUCCCUCCAUCACCAACCCAUGUGGAAAUACCCACUGCCACCAUCACCAGGAGAUCCAAAGCACCACGGAAGUGUGCUCAGAAGGAAUUCCACAAGUGUCAGGUCUGCAAACAUCACCUGUCCAUUUUGCCCCUUUACAGAAUCACAGAAUCGUAGUGGUUGGAAGGGACCUCAGAGAUCAUCGAGUCCAACCACAAAAGUGAGGAAAGGAAUUUUAUACACUUUUAGUAGCCCAGCUGAGUUCUACCAAGGGAGAAUUUAAAUCUCUUUCCCUCUAAUAAAAUAUUUAUGCAAUUGUGUCAAGAGCUUUUCUGCUCCAGCUUUUCAAUUCCACUGUAUCUUCCUCCUCCUCUUUAUUGUAACUGGAAAUAAAGAAUCAAUGCAAAAAUCUUCAUGAUUUAUUUUGAUUGUGUGUUGUUUGAAAUUUAGAAUAUAAGUAUAAUAAUUUUUAAGUUAACUUGCAUAUACAGAAGUAUUUGAUUUGUUUAAAAAUUAAGACAAAAACCUUCAUAUCAGUGUCUCUGUCUUACUGUGUAGUUCUGCAGUACCUUCUUUGAAUGAGUAGGUACGAUGAGUUACAUAGUAGUCAGUGUUACAAUACAAAAUUUCAGAGUGCAAGGCCUUGACACAAAUGUUUGAGAUGCUGUUCAUGUUUUGUAUUCUGUAUCUUUUAGUGUUCUUUCUUGGAGCACUGAGACAGUGCUUGGAGCAUUUAGAAAAGAAGUUCUUGGUAGUGAGGGAAAGCAGUACAUACAGUAUUGUUAGGAUAAGGAUUCUUUUUAGUUACUUCUGAGGAAUAUAACAAAGGCUACGCAAAAAUAAUGCUUCAUUCUUACUGAGAGAAGCAAAUUCAGAGUUAAGAGGUCAGACACUUUUAUUACAACAGCAGUACAUCUGGAUCUGUUAAAUAAUCCAAGUGAUGCUGCACUGAACAUCACAUUUACAUUCUUUAAAUGUGUUCAGUUCUUCAAGUUUUUCAGUACAUAAAAACACUAAGGAAAUUAUGAAAAAGUCUGACACUAAAAUGAAUGUACAGUUUAUUUAUUUAAAUGUUUUAUAUUUAAUGUAAAAAGAUGCUUGCAACAUCUUUGUAUAUAGUUAAAAUUUACACUAACAUCACUGUGAGUUAUUCAAGAAUACAAAAAAAAGGAAACUUCUGCAUUUUUACUGCGUCUUUUUAAGCAGUCCUCAAACAGUAUGAUCUAUGUUAGUACUGAAGUAUAAUUAUAUUCCAGACAAGACACAGCAUGGUUCGGAGCCCAGGUAAUAAUCCCUCCUCGAUGGUUCCUUGUUCUGUGAUGGGCCAUCUUGUCUUACUCUGGACUAUGUUUAUAGUGAACCAUAAGCCCUGAGGAGCAUGGUGCUGAGACAUCCCUAUAGCUUUAGGCUAAGGCAGCAGAGUUCAACUUAGAUUAUUGGUUUGGGCAUUUGGCCAACAUUACUGGAGCUGCUGGCAACGGUAUGAGGCAAAGAAAUAAAGGGAGAAAGUAAGGAGGCUGUAAUGAACCCUGGUGCUGGAGCAGAAGCUAGUGAUAGCAAGGUGUGAUUGGAAAACAUGGAGAUACACUACUUAGAAAAUCCAUAGUGUAGCAAUUUAAAAAAAAUUUGCAUUUCAUACAGCAAAAUAAUGUACCUAUUUGCAGGCAUGUAUGCUUUCAGGGCUGCACACGCACACACAGCAAGAGAUAUGCUGCUGUAUAAGCAUUAAUUUUGCAAUUUUUUGAGUGUCUACAAUAUUAGGUGACAUUCCAGCAAUGUUUUAAUACUGAAUUCUCUGAAAAGCAUGUUGGUAGAUAUUUUUGAGAGGAAAACAAAUUAAAAUCUAUAUUCUGAGCUCUGCCAGUUUGCCAAGCUGCUCAAUUUUAUUCAGGACAUCUUAGGAACAUAUAAAUAAAGGUAAAGUAGCAAAACAUCCAAAUGCUCGUCAGAUUUAAGGAAACAACUCAAGUUGAUCCCCAUGGAAAGCAACUAUUUAAUUUAAGAAUGCUUACUGGCAUCAAUGUUGGUUUUGCUGGUAGACAGUGAGUAAACAAGCUAUAAUGUUGUCUACAAUAUAAAAGUUAUAAACUUAAUGUCUUAGCUUGCCUCUGUCAAACUCAAGGGCAAAGCUCCAAUUGACUUUACUGGAGCAGGGACUAAAAGUUCAAGCUAGCUUGAAAAAUACUGCGAAGAGGCUCAUUUUUGUUGUGAAUGUGUGUUAUAUGCAACUUUUAUCAACAAAAAAAGUUUCUAAGCAUCUGUUAUUUUACAUUUUUACUUCACUGAGUGCAAGAGACUUUAUUUCUACCACCAGCUAAAUUACUCAGAAUUUAUUUCAGUAACUUUAUUCUAUUUGGCUUCACAUUGUAUUUUAGACUUUUAGCCCUAAAUUGCAGAUGUUUGCAAUAGGUUAUGCUUAAGAGAAAAGGAGGGUUUAAGACUAAGAGUUUCCCUUAUUAUGCCUGCUAAGCUACUUAACUGAAUCCUCUUUCUCUUAUAAAUUGCCUUAUCUGUUUGUUUAGUUUUUUCAAACCAGCAUUUGUUGUGGGGCUUAUAAAAAUUUAUUUUGAACCCUAUGUAUUGUGAUAUGUUGAAUCAAUGGUUUCUUUGAAUUUUUUGUAUAUGUUAGUUCCUAAAUUGCCGUAUAUCCAGGAUUAUAUUGUUUUUGCAGUUGUAGGUUUGUCUGUAUUAAAGCAGUUCUGAACUUAU